AUACGUGAAUUACGCGCGGCGCUGGAACUCUUCGAGCAAGAAGGAUUGGCACCUUAUCUUUCGCGCUGGGAAAAGCUGGAUAAUUUUAUUAAUCGCCCAGUGAAACUUAUCAUUGGGGAUAAAGAAAUAUUUGGCAUUUCACGCGGAAUAGACAAACAGGGCGCUUUAUUGCUUGAGCAGGAUGGAAUAAUAAAACCCUGGAUGGGCGGUGAAAUAUCCCUGCGUAGUGCGGAAAAAUAAGAUAGGGGAGCAUUAGCUCCCCUGAAAAUUAUUUGCGUAGUCUGACCUCUUCUACCGCAUGAUUAGCACUUUUCGUCAGGAUUAAACUGGCGCGCUCACGAGUAGGUAGAAUAUUUUGCUUUAAGUUCAGCCAGUUGAUCUCUUUCCACAAUGUCAUGGCAGUCUUAAUCGCUUCUUCUUUAGUUAAUUUCGCGUAGUUAUGAAAAUAGGAAUCCGGGUCGGUAAAAGCCCCUUCGCGGAAUUUCAGAAAACGGUUGAUAUACCACGUCUGAAGUAAGUCUUCCGGUGCAUCAACAUAUAUCGAAAAAUCGACAAAAUCAGAAACAAAUACAUGAUGUGGAUCGUGUGGAUAAUCCAUCCCGCUCUGUAAGACAUUUAACCCUUCAAGAAUUAAAAUAUCAGGCUGAACAACCGUUUUAUCUCCAUCCGGGAUCACAUCAUAAAUAAGAUGCGAGUAAACAGGGGCUGUAACGUUUGGCACGCCGGAUUUGAGAUCGGAAACAAACUUCACCAGGCGAUGCAUAUCAUACGAUUCCGGGAAGCCUUUCUUCUUCAUCAGACCACGUUCUUUCAGAACCUGAUUAGGGUGAAGGAAGCCAUCUGUAGUGAUCAGUUCAACACGACGAUGUUCCGGCCAACGGCUUAAUAGCGCCUGCAAUACACGGGCGGUUGUACUUUUCCCCACCGCGACACUGCCAGCAAUACUGAUAAUGUAAGGAAUGCGUUGCCCGUUAGUACCAAGAAACUGUUCCAGAACUGCCUGACGGCGCAGAUUCGAGCUUAUAUAGAAGUUCAGCAAACGUGACAAAGGUAAAUAGAUCUCGGCAACUUCUUCUAACGAGAGAUCUUCAUUAAUACCUUUGAGACGGGCGAUCUCAUCUUCCGAUAACGUCAUAGGUACGGAAUCACGCAGAGCUGCCCACUGGUUGCGGUCAAACUGUAGGUAAGGCGUCAUUAACGUUUGCUCUUUUAUACUCAUAAGCAUGUUUCUGGCGGUCAUAGCUCUAUCGGCAAAGCGAUAUUUGCCAUGGCGCGUCACAGUUCUGUUGAAUGGGUUAAUGGGCAGGAGGGUAACACCAGAUGGGGAGGAAUAAUAAGAAAAAAUCUCUGCCAGGAAGCUAUCGUUGAAAAGCAAUGUGACAGAUAUUCCAUCUGAUAAAAAGAAUUAUGGUUUAGCAGGAGCGCAUUGUUGAGCACAAUGAUGUUGAAAAAGUGUGCUAAUCUGCCCUCCGUUCGGCUGUUUCUUCAUCGUGUCGCAUAAAAUGUGACCAAUAAAACAAAUUAUGCAAUUUUUUAGUUGCAUGAACUCGCAUGUCUCCAUAGAAUGCGCGCUACUUGAUGCCGACUUAGCUCAGUAGGUAGAGCAACUGACUUGUAAUCAGUAGGUCACCAGUUCGAUUCCGGUAGUCGGCACCAUCAAGUCCGGUGGGGUUCCCGAGCGGCCAAAGGGAGCAGACUGUAAAUCUGCCGUCACAGACUUCGAAGGUUCGAAUCCUUCCCCCACCACCAAUUUCGGCCACGCGAUGGCGUAGCCCGAGACGAUAAGUUCGCUUACCGGCUCGAAUAAAGAGAGCUUCUCUCGAUAUUCAGUGCAGAAUGAAAAUCAGGUAGCCGAGUUCCAGGAUGCGGGCAUCGUAUAAUGGCUAUUACCUCAGCCUUCCAAGCUGAUGAUGCGGGUUCGAUUCCCGCUGCCCGCUCCAAGAUGUGCUGAUAUAGCUCAGUUGGUAGAGCGCACCCUUGGUAAGGGUGAGGUCGGCAGUUCGAAUCUGCCUAUCAGCACCACUUCUUUUCUCCUCCCUGUUUUUUCCUUCUGUUUAUUGCAUUCAACAAGUCGGGCAUGUUGCCUGGUUGAUGUGGUGAUAUCACCGAUUUAUCCGUGUCUUAGAGGGACAAUCGAUGUCUAAAGAAAAGUUUGAACGUACAAAACCGCACGUUAACGUCGGUACUAUCGGCCACGUUGACCAUGGUAAAACAACGCUGACCGCUGCAAUCACUACCGUACUGGCUAAAACCUACGGCGGUGCUGCUCGCGCAUUCGACCAGAUCGAUAACGCGCCGGAAGAAAAAGCUCGUGGUAUCACCAUCAACACUUCUCACGUUGAAUACGACACCCCGACCCGUCACUACGCACACGUAGACUGCCCGGGGCACGCCGACUAUGUUAAAAACAUGAUCACCGGUGCUGCUCAGAUGGACGGCGCGAUCCUGGUAGUUGCUGCGACUGACGGCCCGAUGCCGCAGACUCGUGAGCACAUCCUGCUGGGUCGUCAGGUAGGCGUUCCGUACAUCAUCGUGUUCCUGAACAAAUGCGACAUGGUUGAUGACGAAGAGCUGCUGGAACUGGUUGAAAUGGAAGUUCGUGAACUUCUGUCUCAGUACGACUUCCCGGGCGACGACACUCCGAUCGUUCGUGGUUCUGCUCUGAAAGCGCUGGAAGGCGACGCAGAGUGGGAAGCGAAAAUCCUGGAACUGGCUGGCUUCCUGGAUUCUUAUAUUCCGGAACCAGAGCGUGCGAUUGACAAGCCGUUCCUGCUGCCGAUCGAAGACGUAUUCUCCAUCUCCGGUCGUGGUACCGUUGUUACCGGUCGUGUAGAACGCGGUAUCAUCAAAGUUGGUGAAGAAGUUGAAAUCGUUGGUAUCAAAGAGACUCAGAAGUCUACCUGUACUGGCGUUGAAAUGUUCCGCAAACUGCUGGACGAAGGCCGUGCUGGUGAGAACGUAGGUGUUCUGCUGCGUGGUAUCAAACGUGAAGAAAUCGAACGUGGUCAGGUACUGGCUAAGCCGGGCACCAUCAAGCCGCACACCAAGUUCGAAUCUGAAGUGUACAUUCUGUCCAAAGAUGAAGGCGGUCGUCAUACUCCGUUCUUCAAAGGCUACCGUCCGCAGUUCUACUUCCGUACUACUGACGUGACUGGUACCAUCGAACUGCCGGAAGGCGUAGAGAUGGUAAUGCCGGGCGACAACAUCAAAAUGGUUGUUACCCUGAUCCACCCGAUCGCGAUGGACGACGGUCUGCGUUUCGCAAUCCGUGAAGGCGGCCGUACCGUUG
rnacentral:rRNA from 1 species